CGGAAGACCAAGGGUUCCUGUCCAACGUUAAUCGGGGCAGGGUGAGUCGACCCCUAAGGCGAGGCCGAAAGGCGUAGUCGAUGGGAAACGGGUUAAUAUUCCCGUACUUGGUGUUACUGCGAAGGGGGGACGGAGAAGGCUAUGUUGGCCGGGCGACGGUUGUCCCGGUUUAAGCGUGUAGGUGUGUGUUCCAGGUAAAUCCGGUUCACUUUAAC
rnacentral:rRNA from 2 species